AAAGAAGAAGAAGAGAAAGCGCGACCUGAUCAGUGGAUUAACAUCGCAGUUAAUCUCCUGUGUAAGAAGUCAGCUCAAACUGGAAAGUUUGAACACUGUAAAAAGUGGAGUACGGAGUGAAAAGGAUAGUCCCCAGGGACGCUGAUGGCAGCUGUUCGCAGGAGAGUGAAAAGUCUUAAGACUCAUUCCAGGAACUCCAUCAGGCCUGGUAUAGUGGUGAUUGACAUAUUUGUCACGAUGUAAGGUGUGACACAAGGACAUAAACACGGAUUCCUGUUCAAAUAAAUUUUCCUCCCAGAUUUUCCCUUCAGGAAAUUUAUUUAUUUAUUUAUUUAUUAUUUUAUUUUUUUUCUUCUUCUUCUUCCAUCAGAGAAACCAUUAUUUAUUUAUUUAUUUAUUUAUUUUUUUUUUUUUUUUUUUUUACGUUUGUGCUCUUGGACUCAUUGUGCUUGUGAAAGGACAAUAAGCACUACCAGCAUAUAUAUAUAUAUAUAUAAUUGAUUUUUUGACAGUUCACAUUUAGACUGCAAUUUCUCCUUUAAGAUUCUUAAAGAAUUGUAUUUGUUUGGGGUUUUGUGCAUGUUAUGUUGUGAAAGGUCAAACAUUGAGACUACAUUGAGGUAAUGUCAAUUUAUUUCUUUAUAUUGUUCUGAUUUUUUUCUUUCUCUUUCUCUGUGCUCCAGUUCAUACUUUUAAAGUUGAGCUCUUGAAAACAAAUUGUUAUCAGACCUUGGGAAAAAAAGAACUCUGAAAUAUUUAACUGUCUUGAGAAUUUCUUUUCAGAGCAGGGUUACAUUUACAUUUAAAUAAAACAUCAUUAUAAUUUAUUGUACAUUUUUGCUUUCUUUAAGGUUAUCAACCUAUCAAACCCAAAUGAACUAUUUGUCUUCCUGACUAACAAACAAACAGAAUGUCAGUCAAAUGAACAAAAGUCUGAUUAUGUUGACGAAAGAAUGAAACCUGGAAACUAAAAUCCUGAAAAUCUUCAAUAAAAUUGGGGAAAAGAA